CUGAUCCUUUCUGAUCAUACCUGAAAACUAAGACGUCUCUAAGAAAACUAAUGUAUAAUGAAUACUAAUAUAAUUAGAUCAGAUUCUUAAAAAGUCUAUAUGUGGACAUAUCUCUUAAGUAUAUAGGAGUGGAACUGCUAAGUCGUGUGGUAACUCUGUCGAACUUUUGAGGAACUGUCAAACUCUUUUUCUGAAGCAGCUGUAUCAUUUUAUAUUCCCAGUAACAACAUAUGAAGGUUUUAAUAGUUCUGUAUGCUUGCUAACACUUCUUAUAAUGUGUCUUUUUGAUUGUAGCCAUCCUAAUGUACAUACUGUACAAAUGUUUAUACAUACCCAGUAAAAAUGUUUAUAAAAAUAUUUUAGCACUUACUACGUAAUCAUUGC
rnacentral:lncRNA from 10 species